rnacentral:lncRNA from 1 species
GUUUCGGGUCGUAGUUUGCUCUGGGAGCCCGCGAGGCUCUGGGGCGGGCCGUUGACCUGUUCUCGCUCUCAGCCCGAGCUCCUGGUUCGGUGCCGCGCGCCGGGCGUCAGUGUAGGACAGAUGCACAUAGGCCAAGGACAAAAGCACGUCUACUGGCAACCGCAGCACUGCAGAGAAGUGCGGCUAAAACAGCGCUGGGGGGGCUCUGCCCCUUCUGCUGGCGGCUCCGCGGCGGAGGGCCGGUGGCUGCGGAGACGCCGUCCUUACCCCACGACCGGGAAGCAGAUGCUACACCGCGCGGCAGCGUUGGUGCUGGUGAGGAGGAUCGCGUGCAUGCUGUUUUCUUUGCCCUCUUAAUUUUCUCAGUGAAACACAAAACACAGUAAGAAUAGCACCGAGGAGAAUUUUGGGGACACAGUGAACAUUCAUAAAUACAAAUGUUUUUGUUAAUCUAACAAAGGCCCGCGCUGUAUCACGUGCCACGAAGGAGCCGAGGUGCUGGACAGGGAGGUGCUGCCUGUUCUGUAGGCUGCUGCCCCUAAGCGAGCCGCCCUUGGGAGCUCUGUCCUGGCUCUGCUUCAGCACUGCUUGACCUCCCGUCUUCUCCGCAGGAUGGGCCCUGGAGCCUGCAGUAUCCCAAGUGGAGUGCUGCCUGCAUGUCACACGUGAAGCAUCUACAGAUACAUGAGCAGUAACUCUCUGACCAGGACGGAAUGACCUCUCCAUGGGCACCGGUGGACACGCCGGUGAUAGGAUCCCCACUUAAAUCUCCGUGGCCCUCCAGGGACCUCCUCAAAGACUGGAGAUGGCUCUGGACCCAGGAUUUUCUGGGCUACCUCACGCAAAUGGUGUUCUCACGUGUGCACAGCUCCGGAGUUCCGAUUUUCCAAAGGUGACCCAACCAUCACAUCAUGAAAGCCAUCCACCCUGACGGAUCAAAGAGUUGCAAACGCUGAAUGAAACCAAGCAUCUCUGACACCCUGGGGGCCUUCUGGAAAUCGGUGCCGGCUCCCAAGGCCCUUUGUGACAGGAAACAGGCAGACUCCUCCUCUUUCAGGUCGUUCACGUACACUGGUGCACCUGCCAACGCACACCUGUACUGAUGUCUUUAUCCACAGCGCCUGAACCCAGCACGCUACCCAAACAGGAGCUAAUCUGGUCGCCUCCGUGAGCCUGAAUGACUGCAGGUGGCCACUCUCGUUAGCACCCUUUGUCCGAGCAGCGCCAGCAGCAGGAGCUGAAGCCACAGAGUAACCCAAAGGGCGUGCUGUCUGCGGGCUUCCAGCAUGUUCCGGUGGGACUCUGACGUCGAGCUGUGCCGGUGAGAAGCUUCAGGUGCGGUCUAAUGGAAAGCGAGUCAGCUCAGUCCCCACCGUCAAGUUUACCUGGGGCUCCCGUGGGGACCUAGGCACCUCAAGUCCAAGGGGGACGCCCGGACCUCCUCGUUCGUGGGUGUUCCUCUCUUUCUACCGCAUGAGAGGCGCUUGGCUUUUAUUGUUUCUCUUCCUUUUUGGCCUCCCCACGGAGUUCCAGAGCCAGGCACUGAAUCUAAGCUGCAGCGGAGACCAACUCUGCACGUGCGGCAAUGAUGGCUCCGUGACCACUGUGCUGGGCCGGGGAUUGAACCUGCAUCCCUGCUGUUGCAGAGACACCAUGGCUCCCUUUGUGCCACAGCAGGAAUCUCCAUCGUCUUUUCUUCUUAAGUUUUAGCCCAGGGCCCUCUGCUGUCUGAGGCCCUUCCACCUUACGACCCUGGGCAACGAGCAUGCUGGUCCUUGUGGUCUGGUUGAGGAGCAGAAACGGCUGUGGUGGGAAGGGGAGCAGAGGCCACGGAUGUCGGAGAGCCUGGACCAGCUGGAGAGUCCUGGCGGCUGGAGGUGCGGCCAGGAGGCCCGGGCCCUGCGGGUCCUGCUGGCGGGCGGAUCUCCCUCCCUCCUGAGCGGUAGGGCUGAGCGCUGGCUGGUGGCGAAACGUGCUCCCUGAGCCCAGAGUCCGCAUCUCCAAACGUUCCUCUUUGCUGAAUUUUGCUGCUCUGACAAAUGGCUCUGCAGCUCCAGGGGCACGAAGCAAAAGCUUAUCUCCUGCUCAGUCCCCGUGGCCCUCUUGCACUGGACGAGGGCCCGAGAAGCCUUGCUCAUCUCUUGUCUCAGCCCAAGAAGCCUACUGUGAGUGGAGCCUGGCAAAGGCAGAUGCUAAGGCCCGUGGCUGCUCUUCCCAAACUGCUGAGAGGGCAGAAGGACACCGCCCAACACAUGGACGGUGUGCAGGAAGCCGCCUUCAUUCCGGAAAGACCACCACCAGACCGCCAGACACCAGCUUGGAAGACAACGCCAGCUCACCAAUCCCCGAUCCUUAUCUGCAGCCCCGUUCUUCUCCCCCAGUCUCUCCUGAGGGGGCAUGGUCUUUGAGGCAUGAGCCUGCUGUAACUCUCCUUUGCCUGGUAAAGCAAUAAAGCUGUUUUUUCUCCUUCGCC